CCUACGGGGUGCUGCAGUGGGGAAUAUUGGACAAUGGGGGGAACCCUGAUCCAGCCAUGCCGCGUGUGUGAAGAAGGCCCUCGGGUUGUAAAGCACUUUCAGUGAGGAAGAACGCCUGGUGGUUAAUACCCAUCAGGAAAGACAUCACUCACAGAAGAAGCACCGGCUAACUCCGUGCCAGCAGCCGCGGUAAUACGGAGGGUGCGAGCGUUAAUCGGAAUUACUGGGCGUAAAGCGCGCGUAGGUGGCUUGAUAAGCCGGUUGUGAAAGCCCCGGGCUCAACCUGGGAACGGCAUCCGGAACUGUCAAGCUAGAGUGCAGGAGAGGAAGGUAGAAUUCCCGGUGUAGCGGUGAAAUGCGUAGAGAUCGGGAGGAAUACCAGUGGCGAAGGCGGCCUUCUGGACUGACACUGACACUGAGGUGCGAAAGCGUGGGUAGCAAACAGGAUUAGAUACCCGUGUAGUC
rnacentral:rRNA from 1 species